rnacentral:miRNA from 1 species
CUGAGAGAAGGCUGUUUACUUU